AGCGGCGGGCCUAACACAUGCAAGUCGCACGAGAAAGGGGCUUCGGCUCUUAGUAAAGUGGCGGACGGGUGAGUAACACGUGGGUAAUCUGCCUUUCAGCGGGGGAUAACUGUCCGAAAGGAUAGCUAAUACCGCGUACGUCGUCGAGGACUUCGGUUCUUGACGGGAAAGCCGGCCUCUCCAUGGAAGCUGGCACUGAAAGAGGAGCCCGCGGCCCAUCAGCUAGUUGGUAGGGUAAUGGCCUACCAAGGCUUAGACGGGUAGCUGGUCUGAGAGGAUGAUCAGCCACACUGGGACUGAGACACGGCCCAGACUCCUACGGGAGGCAGCAGUGGGGAAUAUUGGGCAAUGGGCGCAAGCCUGACCCAGCCACGCCGCGUGAGUGAUGAAGGCCUUCGGGUCGUAAAGCUCUGUGGGGAGGGACGAAAAAACGCUGGCCAACAUCCAGCGGACUGACGGUACCUCCUUAGCAAGCACCGGCUAACUCCGUGCCAGCAGCCGCGGUAAUACGGA
rnacentral:rRNA from 1 species